UACGGGGGGGGCAAGCGUUAUCCGGAGUUACUGGGCGUAAAGCGCGGGCAGGCGGUUCUGCCAGUCUGAUGUGAAAUCUCCCCGCUCAACGGGGAGCAGCCAUUGGAAACUACAGAACUGGAGUCUGACAGAGGUAGGCGGAAUUCCGGGUGGAGUGGUGAAAUGCGUAGAGAUCCGGAGGAACACCAGAGGCGAAGGCGGCCUACUGGGUCAGUACUGACGCUGAGCCGCGAAAGCUAGGGGAGCGAACGGG
rnacentral:rRNA from 1 species